rnacentral:rRNA from 1 species
AACCUGGUUGAUCCUGCCAGUAGUCAUACGCUCGUCUCAAAGAUUAAGCCAUGCAUGUCUAAGUAUAAAUACUUUUACUUUGAAACUGCGAACGGCUCAUUAUAUCAGUUAUAGUUUAUUUGAUAGUCCCUUACUACUUGGAUAACCGUAGUAAUUCUAGAGCUAAUACAUGCAUCAAUACCCAACUGUUCGCGGACGGGUAGUAUUUAUUAGAUAGAAACCAACCCUCUUCGGAGGCGCUCAGGUGAUUCAUGAUAACUCUGCGAAUCGCAUGGCCUCGUGCCGGCGAUGGAUCAUUCAAGUUUCUGCCCUAUCAGCU